rnacentral:siRNA from 1 species
CAAGAAAACAAGCUCCUUAAGUGC